rnacentral:rRNA from 1 species
CCUUAGCAUUACUAGUAUUAGAGGCACUGCCUGCCCAGUGACAAUUAGUUUAACGGCCGCGGUAUCCUGACCGUGCAAAGGUAGCAUAAUCAUUUGUUCCUUAAUUAGGGACUUGUAUGAAUGGCCCCACGAGGGUUUAACUGUCUCUUACUUCUAAUCAGUGAAAUUGACCUUCCCGUGAAGAGGCGGGAAUAUAAAAAUAAGACGAGAAGACCCUAUGGAGCUUAAAUUAACGUGUCCAACAAAACUUAAUAUUAACCCAACAGGAAUAAUUACAUUUUAACUGGACAAUAAAUUUUGGUUGGGGUGACCUCGGAGUAUAAUCAAACCUCCGAGCGAUUUAACCAAGACUAACCCGUCAAGGUUAUAUAACUUAUUGAUCCAAUCAUAUUGAUCAACGAAACAAGUUACCCUAGGGAUAACAGCGCAAUCCUAUUUAAGAGUUCAUAUCGACAAUAGGGUUUACGACCUCGAUGUUGGAUCAGGACACCCAAAUGGUGCAGCAGCUAUUAAAGGUUCGUUUGUUCAACG